AUUCCAAUCGAACUUGGAGAUAGCUGGUUCUCCCCGAAAUAGCUUUAGGGCUAGCCUCAGGGAAAAGAUUGCAGGCGGUAGAGCACUGAUCAGGAGAGGGACCUACCCGGUUACCAAACCCAGUCAAACUCCGAAUGGCUGCAAUCAUACCUGGGAGUCAGACUGCGACUAAUAAGGGCCGCAGUCAAAAGGGAAACAGCCCAGACCAUCAGCUAAGGUCCCCAAUGCCGUGCUAAGUGGCGAAGGAUGUGGCAUUUCAUAAACAACCAGGAUGUUGGCUCAGAAGCAGCCACCAUUUAAAGAGUGCGUAAUAGCUCACUGGUCGAGAGACGCUGCGCCGAAAAUGUCCGGGGCUCAAGCACGGAACCGAAGCUAUGGCAUGAUAGCAAUAUCAUGGGUAGGGGAGCGUUCUUAUAAGGAAGAAGCAUGACCGGAAGGACAUGUGGACGAAUAAGAAGUGAGAAUGCCGGUAUGAGUAUCGAAAAGAAAGGUGAGAAUCCUUUCCACCGAAAGCCCGAGGGUUCCUGAGCAACGAUCGUCGACUCAGGGUAAGUCGGGACCUAAGCCGAGGCGGAAAGCGUAGGCGAUGGACAACAGGUUGAAAUUCCUGUACCGGAUCAAGUCGAUUGAGCGAAGGAGCGACGCAGGAGGGCACAUGAUCGCGCGGCUGGAAGAGCGCGUCCAAGUGCGUAUGUUGCCGCAGAGGAAAACCCCUGCAGCUAAAAGCAGAGACAUGAUGGGGAGUUAAAGGAAACUUUGACGAACUCAUGAAUCCCACACUGCCAAGAAAAACUUCUAGCGAGACAAGAUCCGCCCGUACCGUAAACCGACACAGGUAGGCGGGGAGAGAAUCCUAAGGUGCGCGGGAAAACCCUCGUUAAGGAACUCGGCAAAUUGCAUCCGUAACCUAGGGAGAAGGAUGGCCCCCGGUCAGUGAAGAGCAGAAACGCUCAGAGCUAAAAGGGGCGGCAGAAAAGAGGCCCAAGCAACUGUUUACCAAAAACACAGGUGCCUGCGAAAGCGAAAGCUGAAGUAUAGGUGCUGACGCCUGCCCGGUGCCGGAAGGUUAAGGAGAGAAGUUAGCGAAAGCGAAGCAUCGAACUGAAGCCCCGGUGAACGGCGGCCGUAACUAUAACGGUCCUAAGGUAGCGAAAUUCCUUGUCGGGUAAGUUCCGACCCGCAUGAAAGGCGUAAUGAUUUGGGCACUGUCUCAACGAGGGGCCCGGUGAAAUUGAAAUACCUGUGAAGAUGCAGGUUACCCGCGACUGGACAGAAAGACCCCAUGGAGCUUCACUGCAGCUUGAGAUUGAAUCCCGGUGACAGAUGCACAGGAUAGGUGGGAGGCGCCGAAGCAUUGCCCUAGGGCGGUGCGGAGCCGAUGUUGGGAUACCACCCUUCUGUUGCUGAGAUUCUAACGCGAGGAGUAACGACCCUGCGGACCCUCUCAGGCAGGCGGUUUGACUGGGGCGGUCGCCUCCGAAAGAGUAACGGAGGCGCCCAAAGGUUCCCUCAGGCCGGACAGAAACCGGCCGAAGAGUGCAAAGGCAGAAGGGAGCUUGACUGCGAGACCAACAAGUCGAGCAGAGACGAAAGUCGGGCUUAGUGAUCCGGUGGUACUGAGUGGAAAGGCCAUCGCUCAACGGAUAAAAGCUACCCUGGGGAUAACAGGCUAAUCUCUCCCAAGAGUUCAUAUCGACGGGGAGGUUUGGCACCUCGAUGUCGGCUCAUCACAUCCUGGGGCUGGAGUAGGUCCCAAGGGUUGGGCUGUUCGCCCAUUAAAGUGGUACGCGAGCUGGGUUCAAAACGUCGUGAGACAGUUUGGUUCAUAUCCAUCGCGGGCGCAAGAAGUUUGAGAGGAGCUGCUCCUAGUACGAGAGGACCGGAGUGGACGGAUCAACGGUGUCCCAGUUGUCACGCCAGUGGCACGGCUGGAAAGCCGCAUCCGGGAAGGAUAAACGCUGAAAGCAUCUAAGCGCGAAGCCAACCUCAAGAUGAGACUUCUCAUCAGCAAUGAGUAAGACCCCUUACAGACGAUGAGGUAGAUAGGUUAUGAGUGGAAGAGCCGCAAGGCUUGGAGCGACAUAAAACUAAUAGGUCGAGGUCUUAACUUA
rnacentral:rRNA from 1 species